GUUUGGGUACAAGCUACACACAGGCUACAGCAGUAACGGCAUGCAGAACUGCAAGAGUCACAGACAAGAGUGAAACUCCAUUACAAAAACAAAAACAAAAAAACAAAACCAAAAACAAGAACAACAACAAAAAACCAUGCAGGAGUCUUGGGAUGUUAUCUUAAAGCAAAGUUUAUUUUUCAUCUUCCGCCAUUCCUGUAUGUUUUCCUGGGGUGGAAGUCGUUUCCUGAUCUCUGAAUGAAAAAUAUAUUUACUUUAAAUCAGAUGCUUCUCAAUGUGGUAAUUAGUGGCAAGGCCUAUAGAAUAAGCAAACUUUCAAAUUCGACUUAGAGUAAAAUCUCACACUGUCCUUCCUCCCAUUCAUCCACCCAACACUGGGGUCUGCUGAGGUCUGGAAUCUUCCAGUGGGUAAAGAAGGCCGGUCAUUUCUCUCUUUGCUCCUCCUCCCACAGAAGUUUCUGACCGUAUUUGGCUGAUGUAGGGAAAGCAAGAAGUAGGAGGAGAUGGAAAGUUUCUACUUGAAUGGUAAUGUUUUAAGAUGGUUUCAUGCACUCCGAGUGUGAAAACUAUUUUAAGGCCAAAUCUGUCACAGCUGCCCCAGUACUUUUGAGGGGUUUUCCGAGAACCUAUCCUGAGGGUCAGCAAAUGUCCUCUGUAAAAGGUCAGAUAGUGAAUAUUUUAGGCUUUGCAGGUCACACAUCUUCUGUUGCAGCUACUCAACUCUGCCCUUGUAACGCCAAUGAACGGGUGUG
rnacentral:lncRNA from 1 species